rnacentral:piRNA from 1 species
GUGGAAUAUGCAUGUGGUUUGUACUG